GCCACUUUCUACCACUACGGAAUAUUUAUUUUAUUUUGUAAGAUGGAAGAUCAUUUUUUUUCCUUUCCUGUUAGUUACUAUCUUUGAUUAAAUAUUCAUAUUUUGGAAUGUGUUUUGCUUGCAAUUUUACUUACUCGGCAAUGGCAUGGGGAGACUGGAGAGUAAGGAUUGGGGGUUACACACUGCAUUGAGUGAUGCCAGAGAAAUUUAUGCAAAAAAAACUUACCAACUUCAUUGGAAAGCGACUCAAGUCAGAAAGGGCUGCUUCUAUUUGGACAAGCAUAUUGCAACGAACUAUUGAAAUGGCCAGAAAUUUAGAAAUAGUUUGUUAAGUGAUGUUGUAGAGACUUAUGGCUUGAAAUGGCUAAAAGAUUUAGGUCCUACAUAUUUUGGAAUAAACGUAACAAAAGUAUGAUUUAACUUAGACAGGGAAGCCAUUUAGACCUGGAACCCUGAGGGUUUGCAUGGACUUGAUGUUAUCGACCACCUUUUCUGCAAUAGAAAGUAGUCAGCUCAACAUUCUCAAUCUCAUCAUUGCACUGCUGAAAGAAACCUUCAAAUCCUCUAGCCAAGAAGGAUUGGAUGAGGUAUUUGGUGCAUGCCAAUGGAAUCUAUGCCAGCUAUUCCCUUCUUUCAACCAUCAUUGUAGCCAUGCCUCACCCCACUCCACGAUUGUUUUCAAAACCUUAACUAAUUGUACUUAGAAUCAUCAUAAAAGCAAGAAUUAAAUCUUUAAUUCUGGCUGCUGGAGACACAACCAUUACUUGAAGUGCAGCUUGUGGGUCUUUAGGUGCAUUUUGUCACGAGGCCAUAACAUUUUAUAGCCCCGAAAUUUGUUGUAGUGGCUUGCUAUGCAGUGCUGUGAAUCAUUUCCUUAUAUGAACUUUUCAGCAGAUAUGUUCACCUGUGGCUAACUCCAGCAAGGACAUUGACAAUUCUGCCUUCCAAGGCUGACCACAAUUGUGUUCUUACAGUAUAUGUAUCUAACGUGACGUCCUGCUCAUACCAUAUAUACAUAUAUAUGCUUGAUGGCCAUUAGUGGUGCUGUUUGUAAUCUUGCUAGUUUUGUGUAUGAUUUAUGUUACUUGUUUUUGCUACUCAUAUGUAAGAAGUUUUCAUUUUCAGGUUCCAGAUAUUUAUAGUUUUGAUAAUUAUCAUUGCUAUAGAAUUCACUCUUUUGAAGAGAAAGCAAUGGUCAAAUAUUGUACUUUAGGACCUGCAUUAGCAUUACCAAACCGGUGCAAGUUCAUCUAGUCCUGAGUGAUUUUUAGUACAGGUUAAUCAGAAGCCACUAUUACAUUUUACCGUCAUUGGUUCCCUGAAAGCAUGAGACAAGCCCAAUCACGAGAGUAUUUCUGUCAUGGUGAUGCAAGUGUAAUGUAAUAUAAUGAACAGGUAAAGUUGGCCAACCAAUAACCAUAUUUGAUUAUCAUAUGAAAUGGACAGCUACCAGUGAACCUUAAGUUA